rnacentral:tRNA from 1 species
AAUGAAGUGUCUGAUUAUAGAGUUACUUUGAUAGAGUAAAGCAAGUGACUGUGUUACCUUCAUUA